CCUACGGGACGCAGCAGUGGGGAAUAUUGCACAAUGGGGGAAACCCUGAUGCAGCAGCGCCGCGUGAGUGAAGAAGUAUCUCGGUAUGUAAAGCUCUAUCAGCAGGGAAGAAAAUGACGGUACCUGACUAAGAAGCCCCGGCUAACUACGUGCCAGCAGCCGCGGUAAUACGUAGGGGGCAAGCGUUAUCCGGAUUUACUGGGUGUAAAGGGAGCGUAGGCGGUGCAGCAAGUCAGAAGUGAAAGCCCGGGGCUCAACUCCGGGACUGCUUUUGAAACUGUUGAACUAGAUUGCAGGAGAGGUAA
rnacentral:rRNA from 1 species